rnacentral:rRNA from 1 species
GAUCUGGCUCAGGACGAACGCUGGCGGCGCGCCUAACACAUGCAAGUCGAACGGAGAUUACAGGCGGAAGUUUUCGGAUGGAAGCUUGUAAACUUAGUGGCGGACGGGUGAGUAACACGUGAGCAACCUGCCUAUCAGAGGGGGAUAACGAUUGGAAACGAUCGCUAAUACCGCAUGACAUAGCGGAACCGCAUGGUUCUGUUAUCAAAGAUUUUAUCGCUGAUAGAUGGGCUCGCGUCCG